GGUUGUAAAUGUCAUAGUAUGCUGUUAAGAUGCAUUUUUUUCUUUGGUACUGUACCAAUACUCUUCUUGAAUAUAUGCAGUUGUCUUAUUCUAAAUAAGUCAUACAGCGCUAUCCAAUUCCUACACCUGUCAUACCGGACUGGCCGUCAAGUGGCAUGUGACGGAAAUGCAGGUGCUCGAGAGCGUCGUAUCAGGUCGGUCGCUCGCUUUUUGUCUCUCUCUCUUUUUCUGUAGCGAGCUCGCGCAAGCUUCCGUUCUCCCCGCCUGCAGCGCGCGGCAGUUUUACAGCAGGUCGGUCUGUCGGCGUCUUUUCAGUUUUCUUCAGCUUUCCUCUCUUUGCUGCCUUCUCUGUCGACAUAGGAAAGAGAGCAGCUCUGUGUGUGGAAUAAGAAAUCACUCCUGUUUCCGACUGGAGAGAGAAAGAUAGGACUCCUCUGGAUUUCCGCUGGGUGUCUUUUCUGGACACCUUGUAU
rnacentral:lncRNA from 1 species